GUCCCUCUAGUGCAUUAGAUAGCGCGUUGGACUUCUAAUCCAAAGGUCGUGGGUUCAAAUUCCACCUGGGAUG
rnacentral:tRNA from 1 species